UACGUAUGGGGCAAGCGUUAUCCGGAUUUACUGGGUGUAAAGGGAGCGUAGGCGGCAGGGCAAGCCUGAUGUGAAAGCCCGGGGCUCAACCCCGGGACUGCAUUGGGAACUGCCCCGCUCGAGUGCCGGAGGGGCAGGCGGAAUUCCUAGUGUAGCGGUGAAAUGCGUAGAUAUUAGGAGGAACACCAGUGGCGAAGGCGGCCUGCUGGACGGUGUACUGACGCUGAGGCUCGAAAGCGUGGGGAGCAAACAGG
rnacentral:rRNA from 1 species